rnacentral:rRNA from 1 species
GAUGAACGCUGGCGGCGUGCCUAAUACAUGCAAGUCGAGCGAACAGACCUGUAUCUUGCUCCUCUGACGUUAGCGACGGACGGGUGACUCACACGUGGCUAACCUUCCUCUUUGACUUGGAUAACCUCGGGAGACCCUAGCUCCUACCAGCUAAUCUUUUUAACCGCUUGGUUCUAUAGUGUUUGGCCGUUUUGCUGUCUCUUCUCGCUUGAUCCGCGGCGGAUUAGCUAGUUGGUAAGGUAACGGCUUACCAAGGAAACGAUGCGUAGCAGACAUGAGCGGGGGAUCGGCGACACUGGAAGUGAGACACGGGACAGAGUCCUAGGGGAGGCAGCAGUAGGGAAUGGGGGGAAAUGGGCGGAAGAAUGACGGAGGAAUGGCGGGUGAGUGAAGAAGGUCUUCGGAGCGUAAAACUGUGUUAGUAGGGAAGAACAAAUGUGGAAGUAACGAAGCAUGGCGUGACGGUAGCGAAUAAGAAAGCACCGGCUAACUACGUG